AUUCAUAUAGUUUAAUUAAAACCCUUUAUUUUCAUUAAAAAAAUGAUUAUUUAUAUCUAUGAAUU
rnacentral:tRNA from 1 species